UACAGAGGGGGCAAGCGUUGUUCGGAAUUACUGGGCGUAAAGGGCUCGUAGGCGGCCUGUUAAGUCGAACGUGAAAUCCCCGGGCUCAACCCGGGAACUGCGUCCGAUACUGGCAGGCUUGAAUUCGGGAGAGGGAUGCGGAAUUCCAGGUGUAGCGGUGAAAUGCGUAGAUAUCUGGAGGAACACCGGUGGCGAAGGCGGCAUCCUGGACCGAAAUUGACGCUCAGGCACGAAAGCGUGGGGAGCAAACAGG
rnacentral:rRNA from 1 species